AUUGAACGCUGGCGGCAGGCCUAACACAUGCAAGUCGAGCGAGCGGCGGACGGGUGAGUAAUGUCUGGGAAACUGCCUGAUGUAGGGGGAUAACUACUGGAAACGGUAGCUAAUACCGCAUACCAUCAGAUUUUCCCCGAUGGGAUUAGCUAGUAGGUGGGGUAACGGCUCACCUAGGCGACGAGCCCUAGCUGGUCUGAGAGGAUGACCAGCCACACUGGAACUGAGACACGGUCCAGACUCCUACGGGAGGCAGCAGUGGGGAAUAGUGCAAAAGGGGCGCAAGCCUGAGACAGCCAUGCCGGGUGUGUGAAGAAGGCCUUCGGGUUGUAAAGCACUGUCAGCGGGGAGGCGUUACCCGCAGAAGAAGCACCGGCUAACUCCGUGCCAGCAGCCGCGGUAAUUC
rnacentral:rRNA from 1 species